rnacentral:lncRNA from 1 species
GCAAAUAUAGCUCAAGGGAUCUUAGUUGAAGAUCAACAUCUUAUUUCUUUAUUUGUUUUAAUCUUAUUUCUAAUCUUUUUGAUAAUUCCAAAGGGAGAGAAGUAUACUCUCAAGGGGAGUAUACUUCAAUCUUUUUCUUUUUAACCUCUCUUCUAAGUCACCUCCAUGAGGGAUGCUUUAUCAUCAUCAAAAGAGGUAGAACAUGGCUCUAUCUACUUAACAGAUUUAAUAGGUUUUGAUGAA